rnacentral:rRNA from 1 species
AUUGAACGCUGGCGGCAGGCCUAACACAUGCAAGUCGAGCGAGCGGCGGACGGGUGAGUAAUGUAUGGGGACUGCCCGAUAUAGGGGGAUAACUACUGGAAACGGUAGCUAAUACCGCAUACUAUCGGAUAACCCAUAUGGGAUUAGCUAGUAGGUGAGGUAAUGGCCCACCUAGGCGACGAUCCCUAGCUGGUCUGAGAGGAGGAUCAGCGAAACUGGGACUGGGACACGGCCCAGCCGCCUACGGAGGGAGCAGAGGGGAAUAUUGCACAAUGGGGGCAAGCCUGAUGCAGCCAUGCCGCGUGUAAGAAGGAGGCCCUAGGGUUGUAAAGUACUUUCAGUCGGGAGGCGUUACCGACAGAAGAAGCACCGGCUAACUCCGUGCCAGCAGCCGCGGUAAUUC